AGAGUUUGAUCCUGGCUCAGGAUGAACGCUGGCGGCGUGCUUAACACAUGCAAGUCGAACGAAGCACUCUACUUGAUCUCUUCGGAGUGAUUGUUUUGUGACUGAGUGGCGGACGGGUGAGUAACGCGUGGGUAACCUGCCUCAUACAGGGGGAUAACAGUUGGAAACGACUGCUAAUACCGCAUAAGCGCACAGGGUCGCAUGACCUGGUGUGAAAAACUCCGGUGGUAUGAGAUGGACCCGCGUCUGAUUAGCCAGUUGGUGGGGUAACGGCCUACCAAAGCGACGAUCAGUAGCCGACCUGAGAGGGUGACCGGCCACAUUGGGACUGAGACACGGCCCAAACUCCUACGGGAGGCAGCAGUGGGGAAUAUUGCACAAUGGGGGAAACCCUGAUGCAGCGACGCCGCGUGAGCGAAGAAGUAUUUCGGUAUGUAAAGCUCUAUCAGCAGGGAAGAAGAAAUGACGGUACCUGACUAAGAAGCACCGGCUAAAUACGUGCCAGCAGCCGCGGU
rnacentral:rRNA from 1 species